AAGGAAUUUUGCGCAAUGGGCGAAAGCCUGACGCAGCAACGCCGCGUGGGGGAAGAAGGCCUUCGGGUUGUAAACCCCUUUUCUCAGGGAAGAAUAAUGACGGUACCUGAGGAAUAGGUCUCGGCUAACUACGUGCCAGCAGCCGCGGUAAUACGUAGGAGGCGAGCGUUAUCCGGAUUCAUUGAGCGUAAAGAGGACGCAGGUGGUUUUUCAAGUCGGUUGUAAAAUCUCCCGGCUCAACUGGGAGGGACCAGCCGAUACUGUUGAACUUGAGAGCAGCAGAGGGAAGCGGAAUUCCCGGUGGAGUGGUGAUAUGCGUAGAUAUCGGGAAGAACACCAGUGGCGAAGGCGGCUUCCUGGGCUGUUUCUGACGCUGAGGUCCGAAAGCGUGGGUAGCGAAC
rnacentral:rRNA from 1 species